UUUUAUUUUGAUGCUUCGGGAAACAUUUGAUUUUUUUAAAGUUUCAUGCCAAAAAGUAUAGUAUUGCAGCAGCAUCUAUGGGCAUUCUUUAUUAUAAAUCACUGCAUUAAAAAUGAACAGUGAGGUUACAGUGUACCCUUGCCUAUUUACUUGAAAUCAUUUACACUAUAUUCAAAGAAAUGAAAAAUAAAUUAUGUAAUAUUCUAAGCAGUAGUAUAAUGUUGCCUACUCAAAUAAAGGUUUUUUACAGUCUAUGGUGUGCGCGCACAAGUGAUGACGCAGUUUCAAAUCGGCCGCCAAAACUUCUCCGUUUAGUCCCGCCCACAGUGCAGCUGCAGCUGCUCUACUCAUCGACAGUAACGGAAGGGCGCGCGGAUGAUUUGAAUUUCAGGCUAUCCAUUAGGACCUGUGUGAGAAAAUAUCGUGCUCUUUCACUGAGACUGUUUUUCGAUAACUACAGCACAUUUCGAUGAUACCACAGCGGACAUCACGCCAACCGAUCACCGACUGAGGUUGGGUGGAAAGACUGGAGAGCUACAGCAGAUGAGCAUGGCAAUCCAGCUGGAUGUUCCAACGGUUGCUGCUUGCAUCUCAGCCUGCUGGAUGGAAAUUUCUUGCUGGAUGAUGAAUGACCUUCAACUCAACCAUGUCAAACUGCUCAUGUUUGCAGCCAACUCAACACGUAUAAACUUCACCAACCACAUUGCACUGCCUGAUCCUGUGGAUAUGCCCUGUACAACAUUAGUAAGAUCAUGCCCUUCCUCUCCUUCCUUUUGGAGCAUGCUACACAACUCCUUGUCCAAGCUUUUGUUCUAUCCAGACUGGACUGUUGUAAUGUUCUCUUGGCAGGCCUUCCAGCAUGCACUGUCAGACCUCUGCAGCUGAUCCAGAAUGCUGCAGCAAGAGUGAUCUUUAACUAGCUGAAUAGAGCACACGUCACACCUCUCUUCAUCAGUUUGCACUGGCUGCCAAUUUCCGCUCGCAUCAAAUUGAAGGUACUGAUGUUUGUCUGCAGAACAACCACUGGCUCUGCACCCCUAUACAUAAACUCACUACUUCAGACCUGUGUCCUCCAGAAGCUUGCGUUCUGCAAGUGAAUCACGCCUUGUGGUGCCAUCCCAUAGACACAAAAUCACUUUCAUGGACCUUUACUUUGACUGUUCCCUGCUGUUGACGUAAACUGCCUAACUCCACCCAUUUUCAAGAAAUGGCUAAAAAUGCAUCUUUUCUUGAACACUUGACCCAUUAAUACUAACUCUUUCUGCUUAUGAAAAAAAAGGGACUUUGUAUGUUGCGUUGGAUAAAAUGUAAAUGUAUAAAGGUUUACAGCAAUUUCCAUUUAAUAUAGGUAUUUUUGAAUGUUCUAAAUGAUGUAUUAAGUAUGUAUUUUCUAUCAUUUUAUUCUUCGUGUAACUUGACGUAAAUGUGCAGGUUCCUUUAAAAUUAUGCACAAGUACAGAAUAGAUUAAUUUUACAGAAAUUGGCUGGUAAUGUUGCUAUUUUUAUGUAUUUCUAAGUACUAUGCUUGUUUCUCUGUCCAACAAACAUUUUAAAUUAUAAUACUUAUGGAAAAUGAGCAAU